UACGGGGGGGAGCAAGCGUUGUUCGGAUUUACUGGGCGUAAAGGGCGCGUAGGCGGUCAGCACAAGUCAGUUGUGAAAUCUCCGGGCUUAACUCGGAAAGGUCAACUGAUACUGUGCGACUAGAGUGCAGAAGGGGCAACUGGAAUUCUUGGUGUAGCGGUGAAAUGCGUAGAUAUCAAGAGGAACACCUGCGGCGAAGGCGGGUUGCUGGGCUGACACUGACGCUGAAGCGCGAAAGCCAGGGGAGCAAACGGG
rnacentral:rRNA from 1 species